rnacentral:rRNA from 1 species
GACGAACGCUGGCGGCGUGCUUAACACAUGCAAGUCGAACGGAAAGGCCCUGCUUUUGUGGGGUGCUCGAGUGGCGAACGGGUGAGUAACACGUGAGUAACCUGCCCUUGACUUUGGGAUAACUUCAGGAAACUGGGGCUAAUACCGGAUAGGAGCUCCUGCUGCAUGGUGGGGGUUGGAAAGUUUCGGCGGUUGGGGAUGGACUCGCGGCUUAUCAGCCUGUUGGUGGGGUAGUGGCUUACCAAGGCUUUGACGGGUAGCCGGCCUGAGAGGGUGACCGGCCUCAUUGGGACUGAGAUACGGCCCAGACUCCUACGGGAGGCAGCAGUGGGGAAUAUUGCACAAUGGGCGGAAGCCUGAUGCAGCAACGCCGCGUGCGGGAUGACGGCCUUCGGGUUGUAAACCGCUUUCGCCUGUGACGAAGCGUGAGUGACGGUAAUGGGUAAAGAAGCACCGGCUAACUACGUG